AGGAAUGGUCGGGAUAGCUCAGUGGUAGAGCAGA
rnacentral:tRNA from 1 species